UGAAACGUCCUGUGGAGGUGAAACGAGACGAAGAUGCAGCUACAACCCAAAGAACAGCGUCCACACAGUGAAGCGCGGUGGGGACACUGUGGGGGGGCCACCACAGAGAGAAACAGGCGUCCUGCAGGAUCUUUCCACAGGGCGGAGCCGUGAGUCUGCAGAGACAUAACCUCUGUGUCUGUCUCAGGUGUGUGACGGGGACGCUGACGACUUCCUCCUCCACUUCCUGUUGUCUCUGUGCAGCAGUGAUGUCAUGAUUCGGCCGUUCAGCCUCACCUGCAGGAAACACACCAACCAGAGACCAGAAGAGGUGAGGAGGUUCACUCGAGGAGACAGAGAGUUCCUGACCAGACUGGCUCCUCCCCUUCAGCUCACCUGUCUGCACCUCCACCCUGACUGAGCUCCACCUGCUUCGUUCUGACUUCAUCUGUUUUACAUGUUCAUGCAAAUAAAACUUUAUUGUUCCUCCUGUCA